rnacentral:rRNA from 1 species
GUACGCUGGCGGCACGCCUAAUACAUGCAAGUCGAACGAAGUAGCAAUACUUAGUGGCAGACGGGUGAGUAACAUGUAGGUAUCUUCCCAUUGGUGAGGAAUAACACGAGGAAACUUGUGCUAAUACCUCAUAAGUCUUUACGGAGAAAGCUUUAUGCGCCGAUGGAUGAGCCUGCACUUGAUUAGUUUGUUGGUAGGGUAAUGGCCUACCAAGACAAUGAUCAAUAGCUGAUUUGAGAGGAUGAUCAGCCACAUUGGGACUGAGACACGGCCCAAACUCCUACGGGAGGCAGCAGUAGGGAAUCUUGCACAAUGGGGGAAACCCUGAUGCAGCGAUGCCGCGUGAGUGAAGAAGGCCUUUGGGUUGUAAAGCUCUUUCGUCGGGGAAGAAAAUGACUGUACCCG